UGCCUCAUACAUGCAAGUCGAACGGGGUCUUCGGACCUAGUGGCGCACGGGUGAGUAACAUGUGGGAAUCUACCUGAAGGUUCGGAAUAACUGCGGGAAACUGUAGCUAAUACCGGAUGUGUCUGAAAAGAGAAAGAUUUAUCGCCUUCAGAUGAGCCCGCACUAGAUUAGCUAGUUGGUGAGGUAAUUGCUCCACCAAGGCUACGAUCUAUAGCUGAUUUGAGAGGAUGAUCAGCCACACUGGGACUGAGACACGGCCCAGACUCCUACGGGAGGCAGCAGUAGGGAAUAUUGGACAAUGGGGGAAACCCUGAUCCAGCAAUGCCGCGUGAGUGAAGAAGGCCUUCGGGUUGUAAAACUCUUUCAUCAAUGAUGAUAAUGACAUUAGUUGAAGAAGAAGCUCCGGCUAACUUCGUGCCAGCAGCCGCGGUAAUACGAAGGGGGCUAGCGUUGUUCGGAAUCACUGGGCGUAAAGCGUAUGUAGGCGGAUCAAAAAGUUAGAUGUGAAAUCCCUGGGCUCAACCCAGGAACUGCAUUUAAAACUAGUGAUCUAGAAUUUGGUAGGGGUUAGUAGAAUUUCCAGUGUAGAGGUGAAAUUCGUAGAUAUUGGAAAGAAUACCAGUGGCGAAGGCGACUAACUGGGCCAUUUUUGACGCUGAGAUACGAAAGCGUGGGUAGCAAACAGGAUUAGAUACCCUGGUAGUCCACGCAGUAAACGAUGAGUGCUAGUCGCUGGGACAAUAGUUUCAGUGUCGAAGCUAACGCAUUAAGCACUCCGCCUGGGAAGUACGGU
rnacentral:rRNA from 1 species